UUUUUUUUUGGUUUGUCUAUGUUGGAACUGUCCUUGUCAUUGUAAUGCUAUGGCAAUCUAACCCCUGUUACCACUAAAAUGCAUUGCAACUGACAUGAGCAUUUUUUUGUUUCAUCAUAUCAGAUAUUGCCUCGCAUACUCUUUUUUCGUAUUGCUUGUAAAGUUAUAAUCGUAGCUUCAAAGAAAGUUGAGCAAUACCAUAUGUAGUUGCACAUUCAGAGCAUGAUGAAUGAAGCUAAUCGAACUCUUUUGUCCUCCACCUGCAACAAAAAACACUUAAAUGUGCCUGAAAGAGCUUAAGCAAAAUGUGUUCCUGUCCUGACAGGAGCGUGGUACUUAUGGUUGUUCUAGGUUACUCAAAUCACUCCCAUAUUGGACUUGAAUAGUAUUGUCUUUACUCAUAGGUGAUAUCGAUUUUUAAUCUUCAUCGUGACCAUCUUAAAUUUAUUUGUUGUAUAAGUUCAUGUUUGCUUGUGUGAUAUAUAAUUAUAUACAUUUGCUAGUUCUAUGCUCUUGAUGUUGUUAUGUGAUGAACUGUUUGCUGCUUGCUGUUUAAGUAUGGUUGAGUGAGAUGAGCAUACACUACUCACUGUGUUUAGCUUGCUGACACUUGGUCAUCUUGCCUCUAUAGGAAUGCCGUAGUCCCUUCGACUAUUGUGAUGUUGUUACGUCAACUACUCACAAGAACCUCAGGGGUCCAAGAGGUGGUAUAAUAUUCUUCAGGAAAGGCAAAAAAUUAUGGAAGCGAGGUGGAUCUUUCUCUCAAGGGGAUGAGGGUGAAUACGACCUGGAGGAUAAGAUAAAUUUUGGUGUUUUCCCUUCAAUGCAAGGAGGACCCCAUAAUAAUCAUAUUGCUGCUUUGGCAAUAACUCUGAAGCAGGUAGCAACUCCUGAAUAUAAAGCAUACAUUCAACAAGUCAAGAAAAAUGCCCAGGCUUUGGCAUCAGCCUUGCUUAGAAGAAAAUGUAGAUUGGUUACUGGUGGCACAGAUAAUCACUUAGUGCUUUGGGACCUCAGAACUCUUGGCUUGACAGGUAUAAUUCUUCCUACUAUUUUCCUUUAUCACUGUCUGCCCACUUAAUAACUGUUUAUUAUUUUUGUAUAAAUUGUCACGUUUACUUCUUUUUUUCUUUUUGUAUAAAUGUUUAUGACGUUGUACAUUUUGUACAGGCAAGAUCUUCGAAAAGGUCUGUGAGGCAUGCCAUAUAUCUAUCAACAAGACACCAAUUUACGGGGAUAAUGGCUCAAUAUCUCCUGGAGGUGUUCGGAUUGGUUAGUUCUUUGAACUCCAACAUUGUUUUGGCUAUUUGUGUCUAUCAAUACAAAAGUCAGUUUUACUGAUACUACUGUGUUGCACUGUUGCUGCAGGAACACCUGCAAUGACUACUAGAGGUUGCUUAGAGGAUGACUUUGAGGCGAUUGCAGAGUUCCUCAUCAGGGCAACUCAGAUUGCUAGCAAUGUUCUGAGAGAACAUGGGAAGCAGCAAAAGGAGUUUCUAAGAGGCCUACAGAACAGUAAGGAUGUUCUAGAACUCCGUAAUCAGGUCGAGGUAUUUGCAUCACAGUUUGCGAUGCCAGGUUUUGAUAUAUGAAUGUGCAUAUAUACCAUAGUUGCAAUUAUCCUGAUUCAUCAAUCAUCAGCAACAUUGCCGUCCCUCAGUUCGUCCCAUACGAUCAGUCUCAGCUUCAGAACAAGUAGUGGAGGGUUUUUUUUUCUUCUUUUACUUAUUGGUCUUGACAUUCGAUUCAAGCAAUUGUAUGUACAGCUUCCUGCCCAAGUUGAGAAUUAUGUAUGUAGUGAAUCUUGGUAUGACGAAUUUCUGUAGGAGGUUUUCUUUUCCUACCAAACCUGUGUAGCGUUUUGAAACCUGUGUUUUUCCAGGCUGAAUAAGCUUAACCAUCUGACCUCUGGUUAAUUAUUAUACGAUGGGAUGUGUUAAAUUGGUGAGUAUGCAAAGCCAUUGAGCAGCAAGUGCUUGUGUGUCCUUGGCUGAGCGUUCAGAUUUUGCUGCUUUAUCGUUCAUGCUUUCAUGACGCUUUUGUCAAAUCUAUGCUGAUGUUCAGAGCUUGUAGGUAGAUUUUUGCUGACAUUUACAUCUCGAUCUUGCCAGCAUUCUCUUUGUGUGAAUAGACUCCUGCCUGAACUUACAUCUCGUGGUGGUCUAAGUACCGACACUGUGACACGGUUGUCAAUGUUUCUAGCCGAUGCUAUCAUGAGGCUCCUUCUGUUCGUUGUCGGGGAGAAAAGCAUCAUGGAAGUUUGGUAGCUAGCAGCCUAAUUCCGUUCUCAGCCCAGACUCGCGCCCCUGUCUGUUCUCCGAGACCUGACCGGCGUGACCGCGACACACCACUCCUCUUUUUCUUUCCGGCCAUGAUCCGCCUCAGUUCCCUGCCGCGCCGAUCGCGAUCGAUCCAUGGGCAUCGCUCGCAUCCCAUCUGCCGCUCCGAUCUUUCUUUCCUCCGGAGAAAUGAUGGCCCGGCACCGAUCCAUCGACCCCGAGGGCGCGCGAGGAACAACACAGGCGCCGGCAACGGGGGCAGAGGGUCCUUUUCUUCAAUGCGGAGCAGAAAGCCGCGCAGCUGAGCACCCAGUUCCCGUCCCCCGUCCCACCCAGGCACCCAGCUGCCGCCGUUCCAGAAAAAAAACGCUUUAAUCAUUGCCAUCCACCACCCGCUGCCAGCCCCAACCCGACAACCGCCACGGGACGGAGCCGCGGCUGCCACAGUGUCUUUCGCAGCGGUCAUGUGUUGCGCUCCGUCCCUUCCCGUCCAUCCGUCACCAUCUGACCAUCUCCCUCUCCGUCGGCCGGCCGGCCGGCCGGCGUCUCUGUUUCCUCGGCGAGGGAGAGGGGGAGGAGGGGGUACAACGAAUAAUCUGCCGUGGCCCCCCGAUUCUUGCGUUGGUGGAGGCCGUAAUGAUGGCCGGGGGACGGCGGGAACGGGAGUGAGGCCGCCACUACCGAGUAAAGAACUGGCGAGAUCCUCCUCGGCGUUCCACACAUUGCUUUCAGGUUUUCUUUCUAGCGGAGAAACGGUGCCGGGCCCGAAGUGGCACCCGGGGCCGGGGGAUACGAAACGGCGCCCGCCAAGUAAUAAUGCACACGCCGCUCGGCUUCUCCUUUGAUUGAGCGGGCCGGGCACCUGGCCGUGGAAAAGGGGGCCAUCAUGGCUCCCCUUUUGCCGGCGAUGUGAUCCGUGUCGCCGUCAAAGCCAUGCCAAUGGCAGUUGUGGUGUGGACACGAGGGAUGCUAAUUGCUAGAUAGGCUAAUGAGCUUCCUAGCCAGUGCUACUGCCUACUGAUUUGAUAUCUUUGGCGUAGUUUUCAUGGAGAUGCCUGCCUGCCUGACACGAACUGAUGAAAGGGUCGUGAAGCUGAAGCCGCGAAAGGGAGUGAACGCGGGGAGGAAGUGUAAAGAGGGCGGAAGCAACCAAAGCCGGCUGCUGGCCUGUUCUGUUCCUCUUUCCGCCGCGAUAGCAAGGGUCCAACCUCCUCCACCCCCCUAGGCGAACAAACAAAAAGCAACCUUUCGACGCGCAGCUGCGAGUGUGCCGCCGAUUCCUGAACAAAGAUAUCUUCCUGUGAUCGAUCAGUUGCCUCUCCUCUAGUCCCCAGCUUCCCUCCCUCUCAUCUCUCUCAUGGCCAUCAUGUCUCUCCUCCUUUCAUCGCAGAGACGCGGACGCAACAACGAGAAAGGAACAGCAUCAUGGCCAACCAAAAUGCUGCGACACAGAUUCCAUCGCUCUCCAUCCAUCCGUCCCUAGACAGAGAUCAGAGAGAGGAGAGAGAUGGGUGGACGGGACAAUAUGCUAUUGGUAGUAGCUAGGGACACUGCUAGUACGUACGGAGUACGUAUUAACUUUGCUUGUACCACCAUGCAAGCAAGCAACAAGCAUCAUGCAUUCAUUCAUGUGAAUUCGUGAUGAUGAUCUUUAUGCCGGGCCUCGAUCGGAGGAUCGAUCAGUGGCUGCACAGGUCGGAGAGCUCCUUCCUGCCCUCGACAAUGUCGUCGAGGAAGUCGUCGAGCUGGCACACCAGGCUGUCCGUGCCGGUGCGGAGCACGUCCAGCCACGCCUUGAGCUCCUCCACCUUGUCCUUGACGACGCCGCCGCCGCCCUCGCACUUGCGCCCCGCCGCGGCGGCGCGCUCCACCUCCUCCCGCGCGGCCUCCACGGCGGCGCGCGCGCACCGGAACUCGCACAUCCUGAUCCGCGGCGCGCCGGGGCCGUCGGACUCGGCCUCCUCCGCCAUCCUCUGCUGCAGCAUUGCGAUGGAGGCCAUGAAGCCGCCCCCGGCGGCAGCGUCCGCGCUGGCCGACCCCGCGGCGCACGGGCCGCCGCCCGCGGCGGCGCGGGAGACGGCGCCGCUGGCGAGGAUGAGCAGGAGGAGCGAGCUCGCGUUGUGCAGCGCGUAGAGGAGCCCCCGGAAGCCGUUGAAGCCGGUGAGCCUGGCGUCCGUGGCGCGCAGCAGCAGCCGCUCGUCGAGCUGCAGCGACAGCGGCGCGAUCCUCGCGUCCGCGAGCGCGCGGUUCUCCUCCUCCGCAGCCAUCGCCUCCCUCCUUGACGCCGAGAUCGCCCUCAUCACCUGCACGCACCAAUCAGAACAUUGCAAUAAUCGAUGAUGAUGAUGCACACCACAAACGGAACCAAGAAAGUUUUUUAUAUUCAAAAAAGAAAGAACCAAGAAAGUUUUUUAUUCAAAAAAGGAAGAACCAACAAAGUUUCAGACUUCAGAGAGAAAGAAACAGAGCAAAGGAAGGAAAUGAUCAAUAGCGAUCGAUCGCAGGAUGUUUCAACGGAAGGAAGAACCAACCUGGCGAGUGGCUAGAGGGGAGGGAUCCUGGAGCCAGUCAUCCAGCGCCGCGGCGGCGCACGAGGCCGCGGCACAGUAGCGCUCGACGGAGGCGAGCCCGAGCUUGACGGCGAGGCAAGCGUCCCAGAGGCGCGCCGUCUCGUCCAUGUACUCGUCGAGCCACCGCCCGCCCGGCGGCAGGUGGAGCUGGCCCACCAUGAGCGUGAGCUGCGAGUGCAAACCCCUGAGCAGCGCCGCCGCCCGGAGCAGCGCCGGCAGCGACGACAGCCCACCGGCGCGGCCCAGGUCGUCCAGCCCCCUCGCCAGGGACGUGAAGAAGGCGUUCAUGGCGUCGUCGUCUGCCUCCGCCGCCACCGCCCACGCCGCUGUCUCCGCCGCCGCACUGUUGGAAUCGGGAAAGGGAGGCCGGCUCGGCUGGCUAUAUAUAGCUAGCUAGCUCGCUCGCUAGCGCUCGGUGCACCGGCACG
rnacentral:lncRNA from 1 species